UAGUGGCGGACGGGUGAGUAACGCGUGAGCAAUCUGCCUUUCAGAGGGGGAUAACAUUCUGAAAAGAAUGCUAAUACCGCAUAAUGUGCACAGUUGGCAUCGACAGUGCACCAAAGGAGCAAUCCGCUGAAAGAUGAGCUCGCGUCCGAUUAGCUAGUUGGCGGGGUAACGGCCCACCAAGGCUACGAUCGGUAGGGGUUCUGAGAGGAAGGUCCCCCACAAUGGAACUGAGACACGGUCCAAACUCCUACGGGAGGCAGCAGUGGGGAAUAUUGCACAAUGGGGGAAACCCUGAUGCAGCAACGCCGCGUGAGUGAUGACGGUCUUCGGAUUGUAAAGCUCUGUCUUUAGGGACGAUAAUGACGGUACCUAAGGAGGAAGCCACGGCUAACUACGUGCCAGCAGCCGCGGUAAUACGUAGGUGGCAAGCGUUGUCCGGAUUUACUGGGCGUAAAGGGAGCGUAGGCGGACUUUUAAGUGAGAUGUGAAAUACCCGGGCUCAACUUGGGUGCUGCAUUCCAAACUGGAAAUCUAGAGUGCAGGAGAGGACAGUGGAACUCCAUGUGUAGCGGUGAAAUGCGUAGAUAUAUGGAAGAACACCAGUGGCGAAGGCGGCUGUCUGGUCUGUAACUGACGCUGAGGCUCGAAAGCAUGGGUAGCGAACAGGAUUAGAUACCCUGGUAGUCCAUGCCGUAAACGAUGAAUACUAGGUGUAGGGGUUGUCAUGACCUCUGUGCCGCCGCUAACGCAUUAAGUAUUCCGCCUGGGGAGUACGGUCGCAAGAUUAAAACUCAAAGGAAUUGACGGGGGCCCGCACAAGCAGCGGAGCAUGUGGUUUAAUUCGAAGCAACGCGAAGAACCUUACCUAGACUUGACAUCUCCUGCAUUACCCUUAAUCGGGGAAGUUCCUUCGGGGACAGGAAGACAGGUGGUGCAUGGUUGUCGUCAGCUCGUGUUGUGAGAUGUUGGGUUAAGUCCCGCAACGAGCGCAACCCUUGUCAUUAGUUGCCAUCAUUAAGUUGGGCACUCUAGUGAGACUGCCGGGGACAACUCGGAGGAAGGUGGGGAUGACGUCAAAUCAUCAUGCCCCUUAUGUUCUGGGCUACACACGUGCUACAAUGGCCGGUACAGAAAGCAGCGAAGUCGUGAGGCGGAGCAAAUCUCCAAAACCGGUCCCAGUUCGGAUUGCAGGCUGCAACUCGCCUGCAUGAAGUUGGAGUUGCUAGUAAUCGCAGAUCAGAAUGCUGCGGUGAAUGCGUUCCCGGGUCUUGCACUCACCGCCCGUCA
rnacentral:rRNA from 1 species